rnacentral:rRNA from 1 species
CCUACGGGAGGCAGCAGUGGGGAAUAUUGCACAAUGGGCGAAAGCCUGAUGCAGCGACGCCGCGUGAGAGAUGACGGCCUUCGGGUUGUAAACCUCUUUCAGCAGGGAAGAAGCGAAAGUGACGGUACCUGCAGAAGAAGCACCGGCUAACUACGUGCCAGCAGCCGCGGUAAUACGUAGGGUGCGAGCGUUGUCCGGAAUUAUUGGGCGUAAAGAGCUUGUAGGCGGUUUGUCGCGUCUGCCGUGAAAAUUCGAGGCUCAACCUCGAACUUGCGGUGGGUACGGGCAGACUAGAGUGUGGUAGGGGAGACUGGAAUUCCUGGUGUAGCGGUGAAAUGCGCAGAUAUCAGGAGGAACACCGAUGGCGAAGGCAGGUCUCUGGGCCACUACUGACGCUGAGAAGCGAAAGCAUGGGGAGCGAACAGGAUUAGAUACCCGUGGUAGUCCAUGCCGUAAACGUUGGGAACUAGGUGUGGGUCUCAUCACGAGAUCGUCGCGCAGCUACGCAUACGUUACCCGUCCGUCGGGUAGGUACGGCCGCGACGACGUAACCGUAACGUAACGUAGUACGACGNGAGAGACGCGACGACGACGACGACGGA